rnacentral:lncRNA from 1 species
CUCUAAAAUUUUGAAAUUUUGUUAGUGGUUGAGUUUCAGAAUUAUGUCUAUAGAUGGUAAUAAUAUGUAUAAUAUGUAGCCAAGUUUUUUUUUUUUCCCAGAAAAUAGAAAUGGCUAUUUGUCCUAUAUUAAAUAGCACUAUUGGCAAACAUAAAUUACAUGGUUCUUAUCGCAUGUAACACGAUAACGUAAUAACAGCUGGAAAAUGGAAUUUAUGCAUUUCUUUUAACAUUCUUCUUGAUGUAAUAAAAAAGCAAAUGAUUUUAGAAAGGCAACUGUUAACUUGUUCACUAAAUGUAUAUAUAUUUUACUCUUGGGUUUUUGUUCUUAUUACUGCAGGAAGUAUGCGUGCUUCAUUUCUUACCCAGAGUUACCAACUGCCAGUUCUUGAUACCAUGUUUGUAAGAAAGAAAUACCGAGGCAAAGAUUUUGGACUUCAUAUGCUGGAAGAUUUUGUUGAUUCCUUUACAGAAGAUGCACUUGGCUUGCGUUACCCUCUGUUUUCUUUCAUGUACACAGCUUGCAAACAGUACUUUGAAAAGUAUCCAGGAGACCAUGAACUCCUUUGGGAAGUUGAAGGUGUUGGACACUGGUACCAGAGAAUACCAGUCACGAGAGCAUUGCAGAGAGAAACACUUAAAAUUACAGGUAAGAAUGUUUCCAGUUUGAACACAGUCCAGUUUUAAAAGCAGCAUUUGCUACAUAAUGGUGAUGUCUAGAGCAGUGGUGUAUUAAGUGAUCUUUCUGGUAUUGGACCCUCAUAUCUAAAGUUUGAAUUUUUA